rnacentral:rRNA from 1 species
GACGAACGCUGGCGGCGUGCCUAAUACAUGCAAGUAGAACGCUGAAGAGAGGAGCUUGCUCUUCUUGGAUGAGUUGCGAACGGGUGAGUAACGCGUAGGUAACCUGCCUUGUAGCGGGGGAUAACUAUUGGAAACGAUAGCUAAUACCGCAUAACAAUGGAUGACACAUGUCAUUUAAUUGAAAGGGGCAAUUGCUCCACCACAAGAUGGAACCGCGUUGUAUUAGCUAGUAGGUGAGGUAAUGGCCCAACUAAGCGACGAUACAGAGCCGGCCUUGAGGGGGGGUUCGCCACACCGGGACUGGGACACGGCCCAGACUCCCACGGGAGGCAGCAGUAGGGGAUCUUCGGCAAUAGGGGCAACCCUGACCGGGCAACGCCGCGUGAGUGAAGAAGGUUUUCGGAUCGUAAAGCUCUGUUGUAAGUCAAGAACGGGUGUGAGAGUGGAAAGUUCACACUGUGACGGUAGCUUACCAGAAAGGGACGGCUAACUACGUG